rnacentral:piRNA from 1 species
UUUCAGUCAAGUGUUAUUGCCUGGGCAAA